CUACCCUAAACAAUAUAUUGAAAUCGAGGGUAGGUGACGCUUCACAAUAUCGCUUUGCUGCUUGCAUAUCUGAUAGUAGAGGUACUAGAGUUCUUUCUUGUCCUAUUAAGAAGUGUUUGAGCUGGGGAUUAUCAAACGACAAUUUCUAGGGCAGCCACACUGAAAGAGUUGUUGUUGCUGAAAAAUUUGACGUCUGACAAUUCAGUACAAUAUUUUUUCUCGCACGUUAUCACGUCCGAUGAAAAUUAAAGUAGAUACUCCUUAAAAUUUGAAAGGACAUACCCCUGCCUACAAGAGGAGUUUAUAUAAGUAAUUUUCAGCGAUGAUAUGCUGAAGUAGAUUACAUCAUAUGACAGUGGAACAACAGUACAUUAGGCAGCCGCAAUGAAGGACGCUAAGCAAGCCAUAAAGACAUGAUGCCAACGAAGGACAAGGACAAGCGUAUGAAUUCUUAGUCAAACAAGUCUUUGGACAGCGCCUUAGUGCCGACAGUAGAUCCAGAAAACCCUUAGCCCUUGCAAACAGACACCUCCUCUGUACUUCUUUUGUCCUGUACACCGAUCUUAAAAACGUCGCCGCAAGUGAUCGUCGACAAGAAUCCAAUGCCACCACCAAAUUCAUCUAGGAUAGUCAAGCCCCGCCGAUUACCCAACAAUUACAAGGUGAAACAGGAGCCGAUAGAACGCAGGUCGGUGCCAAAACCUGCUGCCAUCGUCAAUGAGAAGAGUGCCAAGCUAACGCCCACGAAACCAAGAGCCAUUGAUCUUAAACGAGAGAUAGCCAAGGAGCAGAUAAAGGCCUGAUGUCCAGGAAGGUGCAUCAAAUCGUGUCCCCCGGAGAAUGAUUGGCAGACUAGCUCCACAUUUCACCUUGAGGAUGUCAUUGACAGAAACAUGUCAAAAUACCCUUUAAUAACUAGCCGAAAGCAGGUACAGUGUCUUCAGCAUUUCGUCUCCCUCAGCCGUGGUCAUGGCAAACACUUGGAUCAUUCCCGACUCGUAGAGUCUAGCUGAGACUCCGCACAUUUCCUUAUUCACAUAUUAGACGAAGUUCAUUUCACGAAGGAGUGGUUCUGAGGAUAGUGCGCAGACCUCACUAAAUUUCUGCAAAUUUACGGUCCAAGGUUAGUUGGCACCGUAAAAGUAACGUAAGCAUAUGAGUGUAAGAGCCUUGAAAUUCACCAUUUCGAUAGUCUUCGUCACGAUAUCGCUUUGGGCUUCGGCCAACAUUGCGCUACUUCUUCAGUUGAUAAUCAUCACAAUGCCAUUGACUCAUAUCCAGCCUAUCUGAUAUCGCACUUCGAUCACAUCUGACAUAGAUGUUGGGCAUAUAUGUCGGGUGUGAUCGAAGUGCGACAGGAACAAGGAAAUGCCCGGAAUGACGGCUAGACUUUUUGAAUCGGGAAUGAUGCCAGUGUUUCCCAUGACCACGGCUGAGGCGGAUGAAGUGUUGAAGAAACUGUUCCUGUUUUCGGCUAGUUAUUAAAGGCUCGAAAAAUGUACCGAAAGAAACAAAAAAAUGUUCCAUGAUCGCGCAAUCAUUAAUAGAAUUCACUUCCAUAAUUCCGUGUAAGGAGCUUGGGGAUAUAAAAUGUUACUGUGGACGGCAGUGCACAGGAGACUAACAUAUAUAUUUAAAAAGCACAAUGGAAUCGUCGCUGCUCCAGUGGUCGCCAAGAACGCAGCUGCUCCUUUGGCCUAUUCUUCAACUUUGGCUUACUACUCCCCCUUGGCCUACUCCGCCCCCCUUAGCUACGCCGCUGAUCCAGCACCUCUCUUCAUUUAAUCAAAUGUAAAAUGUGAUAUAUUAUA